GACGGAGGGGGCUAGCGUUGUUCGGAAUGACUGGGCGUAAAGGGCGUGUAGGCGGUUAAUGAAGUCAGACGUGAAAGCCCCGGGCUUAACCCGGGAACUGCGUUUGAUACUGGUUGACUUGAGGACGAGAGAGGAAAGCGGAAUUCCGAGUGUAGAGGUGAAAUUCGUAGAUAUUCGGAGGAACAUCAGAGGCGAAGGCGGCUUUCUGGCUCGUAUCUGACGCUGAGGCGCGAAAGCGUGGGGAGCAAACAGG
rnacentral:rRNA from 1 species